rnacentral:rRNA from 1 species
UACGUAGGGUGCGAGCGUUAAUCGGAAUUACUGGGCGUAAAGCGUGCGCAGGCGGUCUGUUAAGACAGAUGUGAAAUCCCCGGGCUUAACCUGGGAACUGCAUUUGUGACUGGCAGGCUAGAGUAUGGCAGAGGGGGGUAGAAUUCCACGUGUAGCAGUGAAAUGCGGUAGAGAUGUGGAGGAAUACCGAUGGCGAAGGCAGCCCCCUGGGCCCAAUA